rnacentral:rRNA from 1 species
ACGGGUGAUUAAUGCUUAGGAAUCUGCCUAUUAGUGGGGGACAACAUCUCGAAAGGGAUGCUAAUACCGCAUACGUCCUACGGGAGAAAGCAGGGGAUCACUUGUGACCUUGCGCUAAUAGAUGAGCCUAAUUCGGAUUAGCUACUUGGUGGGGUAAAGGCCUACCUUGGCGACAAUCUGUAGCGGGUCUGAUAGGAUGAUCCGCCA